rnacentral:lncRNA from 1 species
GACCUUGGAGGCCGAGGAGGGGAGGGAGGAACAAAGGAACCCUACAAAUGUCACCCCGAUAACGGAGCGAGCGCGUCUGCAAGCUCCCCCCUGGAGCAGCCGCUUCCUUUGAUGCCUUUGGAGCUUCUUGUUUCACAACCUUAAUUAUAGCGGCAGCAGCAAAGGUCAGGAGAGUGGUUAAGCAGAUCCAUUAACAUGUCAGGGGAUAAAUGAAAUGUGAUUCUUCUGAUGCCGGAGCGGCAGAGGCCGGCAGGGACAGCUGCUCCGCUCUGCCGCAGAGGGAGCCCGAGGGGCCCUUGGCCACGUCUUCCCCUUCCCAACCCAGCACUGCAAACACCUCCCGGGGACCACAGGGACCCCCCAAAACUUCCCUCAGUUGCCUUUACCCACAGAGCAUCAGGUCCAUGUACACAUGGAAUACCCAGACACGAGACUGCAGGUUGGGGUCUCCCUGGGGAAGGGGCUGGAGGUGCCUCCAGACCCACCACAGCCCUCCGGAGACAAGCACACCAGGUCCCCAUCGAGCUGCUCCACAGCUGCCACCUUCACAGCUCUGGGUUACACGUGGCUGCAGUAAAAACAGGUCCCAAACAAAAUCCAGCCCCAGCGCAUCCCUCCGGUGGGUCCUACCCAUUGCCCUCCCUCGAUGCCCCCUGGGGACACCAGACCCAUUCCACUCCCCUCUCCCCAGCACAGCUCCAGGUUGCCGGGUCAGGUGCCCUCCUUUUCCCCCCAGAACUUCCCUUUUGGGGUCCUUCAAAUCCUGUUACACGCUGAGGGGGCUCGGAGCAGGCAGGAGCAGCUCACAGCUCGGCAUCCCGGCGCCCCGCUCCCGGGAACAGGUCCCAUGGGGCUCCCGCCCCAGUGGGAUCGUGCCCACCAGCUCUCAGCCCCCAGUGCCGGUGGGGCCGAGCGGAGCCAAGGGGCAGGGGGCUGGCGGGGAGCACGGGCAGUUCCCCCACCCAGGCGGGGAGAUGCAUUUCGGGGCUCCCUGCUUUCGGCGUUUCCACCCAUCGCUCGCCGCCGAGGGAUAAACGGGUGCGUAACCACCUGGGCCAGCUUGCCCCGCUUUCUGCCGGAUGAGCAAGGGAUUUCAACACGAACCAACCUGGCAGAGAAACCCAGCGCCCGGGGCCAAACAUUUCGGAGGCUAAAAAUAAACCGGCAGCGGGGAGCCA